UACAGAGGUGGCAAGCGUUGUUCGGAAUUACUGGGCGUAAAGGGCGCGUAGGCGGCCAUCUAAGUCAGACGUGAAAUCCCACGGCUCAACCGUGGAACUGCUUGGCAUACUGGCGAUCUUGAGCCACUUAGGGGCAACCGGAACAAACGGUGGAGCGGUGAAAUGCGUAGAUAUCGUUUGGAACGCCAAUGGUGAAAACAGGUUGCUGGGAGUGUGCUGACGCUGAGACACGAAAGCCAGGGGAGCGAACGGG
rnacentral:rRNA from 1 species